rnacentral:rRNA from 1 species
AAAUGCCCUGCUUCCAGGAAAAGCCUCUAAGCAUCAGGUAACAUCAAAUCGUACCCCAAACCGACACAGGUGGUCAGGUAGAGAAUACCAAGGCGCUUGAGAGAACUCGGGUGAAGGAACUAGGCAAAAUGGUGCCGUAACUUCGGGAGAAGGCACGCUGACACGUAGGUGAAGUGAUUUACUCAUGGAGCUGAAGUCAGUCGAAGAUACCAGCUGGCUGCAACUGUUUAUUAAAAACACAGCACUGUGCAAACACGAAAGUGGACGUAUACGGUGUGACGCCUGCCCGGUGCCGGAAGGUUAAUUGAUGGGGUCAGCGUAAGCGAAGCUCCUGAUCGAAGCCCCGGUAAACGGCGGCCGUAACUAUAACGGUCCUAAGGUAGCGAAAUUCCUUGUCGGGUAAGUUCCGACCUGCACGAAUGGCGUAAUGAUGGCCAGGCUGUCUCCACCCGAGACUCAGUGAAAUUGAACUCGCUGUGAAGAUGCAGUGUACCCGCGGCAAGACGGAAAGACCCCGUGAACCUUUACUAUAGCUUGACACUGAACAUUGAGCCUUGAUGUGUAGGAUAGGUGGGAGGCUUUGAAGUGUGGACGCCAGUCUGCAUGGAGCCGACCUUGAAAUACCACCCUUUAAUGUUUGAUGUUCUAACGUGGACCCGUAAUCCGGGUUGCGGACAGUGUCUGGUGGGUAGUUUGACUGGGGCGGUCUCCUCCUAAAGAGUAACGGAGGAGCACGAAGGUUGGCUAAUCCUGGUCGGACAUCAGGAGGUUAGUGCAAUGGCAUAAGCCAGCUUGACUGCGAGCGUGACGGCGCGAGCAGGUGCGAAAGCAGGUCAUAGUGAUCCGGUGGUUCUGAAUGGAAGGGCCAUCGCUCAACGGAUAAAAGGUACUCCGGGGAUAACAGGCUGAUACCGCCCAAGAGUUCAUAUCGACGGCGGUGUUUGGCACCUCGAUGUCGGCUCAUCACAUCCUGGGGCUGAAGUAGGUCCCAAGGGUAUGGCUGUUCGCCAUUUAAAGUGGUACGCGAGCUGGGUUUAGAACGUCGUGAGACAGUUCGGUCCCUAUCUGCCGUGGGCGCUGGAGAACUGAGGGGGGCUGCUCCUAGUACGAGAGGACCGGAGUGGACGCAUCACUGGUGUUCGGGUUGUCAUGCCAAUGGCACUGCCCGGUAGCUAAAUGCGGAAGAGAUAAGUGCUGAAAGCAUCUAAGCACGAAACUUGCCCCGAGAUGAGUUCUCCCUGAGACUUAGAGUCUCCUGAAGGAACGUUGAAGACGACGACGUUGAUAGGCCGGGUGUGUAAGCGCAGCGAUGCGUUGAGCUAACCGGUACUAAUGAACCGUGAGGCUUAACCUUACA